GACGAACGCUGGCGGCGUGCCUAACACAUGCAAGUCGAACGGAAAGGCCCUGCGUUUGUGGGGUGCUCGAUUGGCGAACGCGGGAGUAACACGUGUGUAACCUGCCCUUGUCUUUCGGAUAACAUCAGGAAACUGGGGCUAAUACCGGAUAGGAGCUCCUGCUGCAUGGUGGGGGUUGGAAAGUUUCGGCGGUUGGGGAUGGACUCGCGGCUUAUGAGCUAGUUGGUGGGGUAGUGGCUGACCAAGGCUUUGACGGGUAGCCGGCCUGAGAGGGUGACCGGCGACAAGGCGACUGAGAGACGGCCCAGACGCCUACGGGAGGCAAUGGUGGGGAGCAUUGCACAGUGGGCGGGCGCCUGAUGCAGAGACGCCGCGUGCGGGAUGCCCUCCUUCGGGUUAAGAACCGCUUUCGCCUGUGACGAAGCGGGAGUGACGGUAAUGGGUAAAGAAGCACCGGCUAACUACGUG
rnacentral:rRNA from 1 species